AACUACAUGCGCACAUGCAAUGUCUCUACUAUAUUAGAAACGACAGUUUUAGGACGAACAAGGACGAACACAUGCUACAAGCUAUUGUACAAAAAGCAACAUGAGUUGCACUCUGUCCCAAAACCACGUGGACUGUAAUGUAUAUACCCGGAUUUCACAGCCUAUUCACAAGUUCAGAUUUCAGAGUGUAUCAACUUUGUGCUGCGCUUACUCUCUUCUUCACUUUUUCAAGUUUGCCAUCUAUCUUUUACUGCUCUGCUCCUUUCGGUAAAUUUUGUUUAAUUUUUGUUCCUCCUCUUGCUUGAUGUAUUAGAAAAUGCUGCAUACACAUCAUCUGGUUUUUUUUCCCUUCAAAUUUCUCAACUGGAUCUCCAAGUUGUCUAUGCUUUAGUUUGUUCAAUUCUGGUUUUCUGCAAUUGAGCCGCCCUUAAUUUUUUAGCACAUGCACGUCCAAUUUCGACCACUUUAGGAGAAAUGAUUUGAGUUGUAAGGAGAUAGGUGCAAGUGUCGGUCCUGUAAAAUAUGGAAAAGUUGCUACCCUCUUGCAUAUAGCAAUUUUACUUGGUUGCUCCUAACAAUGGAUGGAGUAUAGAUCUUGAGCUCUAGAUCGCUUGGCAACCUAUGUUAGCACCUUUCUUCCGUUGCAUGUCACGGUGAAAGUUUAGAGUUAUACUUGCUCUUUUGAAUCAUGGUAACAUUGAGGGAGUUGAAAUGGAGUCUAUAAAGGCAUAAGAAUAAGCCGGCCAGCUACAAUGCCGGUUCAUUUAACUUGCUAAUUUUUUGCGUAUUCAAAUCGGGGAUUCUAAUAGGGAGUACCAAGCAUUCAAGCCCACUGCCCUUCAUUACCUACUAUGAGAAGAUUGGCUAAAUUACCAAGGAUGAGACAGUCUUCUUAACAACUAUUCUGCUUCACAAUUGGAGUGGUAGAGUACACUUUUCCGUCAGGACAACAUACGUUCUCAAGUACUGUUAUGUGAAUACGAAAUGGAUACUGCAUCAUUUAGGCCCUGAGCAAGUAUUUUUUGUUGCUUCCUGGUUUGAUUUCUCUCGCAACCACAUUCUAUUUGCUCAUGUUAUGGUACAAAUAUGUAUUCUAGGACAAUUCUUUGUGACUUGAGCUAACUAUUUUCAAUUUUUACGUGUUAUAUAUGACAUUCUCUAUCCAGCUUCUUUUGGUUAUUAAGCUUGACCUUUGUAAAGCUCUCACUUCUUGAAAUCUGUCUUUUGUAUUUCCAAGCUUGCCCUAAGUGUUAGUCAAUCUCAUGACUGGACUUUGUAUAAUCCACUCGAGUGAGUAUCAAAUGUCAGUAAUAUGAUCCUUCGUAGUCGUUCUUUGUAUUAUCAAAGUGCCUUUCUGGAUGAAAUGCCAUAAGAGACAGAUACAUUGAGGGGAAAAGAAAGGAGAGAGCAGUUCUUGGAGUUUUUGCCAUGUUAUUGAAUCCAAAUAGUGUACAAAAGUGGUCUCGGAUAUCCAACUCUCUACAUCAGGUGGUUAUCACAUUCUAAUGGCUGAAGCUCCCAUUAUGCAUCAGAAGAAACGACAACAACUAAGGAAUUUCCUCUUUUCUCAUCUGUCCAAGCUGUAGGAUAUGUUACGUGGUCUUAUAUUUACAAGUGAAAUAAGUGAAAGUAAAGUUUAUCUUCGGUAAAUAAAGAUUUAUUAUCUUAAGAGUCGAUAUUUAUCAUCUUUUGAUUCAAGUACCGUGUAUUAUGUGUUACUAAGCUAAUGCUGAAUAAUGGUGAAAUUAACAGUCGUUAGUUUCUCUUAUAUGAAUUUUCUGGAGCAGUACAUUUCAAGCGGAAUCAAAAAACAGUAAACGAGGGAGCAAGUUGCCAAAAAAGAAAAAGAAAAAGAAAAAUUAAAUGGAGAAAAAGAAGCAUAUCAUUAUCCUUAUAGGUGCUGCAGAAGAAGUGGAUCAACAGCAACUUCAUCUGGCUAGCAAAUCUUAUCCCAUGUUGCCUAUGGAAGGAAUCCUUUACAGGUAAUACAUCCAGAGACUUUGUUUCUAUUUUGGUGAAGCUUUACAAGAAAGGAUUGAUCGAGAUAUAGCAAGGUCCCCAGUUUUGAAAGAAAAUUAAGGUUUUUAAGCACUGUGGCAUUAGGUACCACACCAGAAACCUUAAACUGCCACUAAAUAAUUCCCUUCAGUCAAUAAUGCAAUUUGCAGGAGUUCAAUCAAUAAUUAAAAAUGUUGAAGGUGCAACCAAGAUUGAUUUGGUUAAUUGUAACAUCAGAACUGGAACGCAGAGUACGGGAUUGAUGCAAGCUCUUUCAGCACAACAGAACUGUCCAAUUGAGCUUCUGAAGAUAACUAUCAUAGGACACCAAGAAAAAGAGAAAAUCGAAAAAACAGGGGAGCGAUUACAAAGUUUUGCCAAUUCGUUAAAAUCUGCCCUUUUCAUUUCAUAUAGUCUUUAUGUUUGAUAUGAAAGAACUCGGGGCAGAAUUAGUCGAUGUUAAAGCAGAUGAGUGGAUGUCUAUUAUAACACUACAAGGACAAUGAUCUGCAGACAAGAUUAUUUGGACAAUAUGGUGCGAGUUAGAGGGCUAAGAUCAUCUGUGGUUGUUGUCUGUGAGGUUGAAGCAAACAAUAAUUAACCUUCAUUUUUAACAUUUUUAUAGAGGCACUUUCCUUUUAUAGUGUGCUUUUUGAUUGCUUUCAGGACUGCAUGGAUAGAGACAAUCUGGUCAGAAAGAGGACUGAAGUAUUUCAUGUUGGUGAAGGUAUCCGAAAUAUGGUUGCAGCUAAGGGUGUGGAAAGGUUCAUCCGGAAUGUGAAGCUAGAUGUACGGAGAGCUUGCUUAGUUUGGAAUGGUGGAAAUCGAACUCAGUCAAUCAUCUUGGCAUCAAGCAAAUGUGAUUCUCAAGCAAUUUCCAACUCUUACACCAGAAAUCAUUAUAUUUGCAUAUAUACAUAGCAUAUUUGCAAAUGGACAGGUGCUAGCAAUAUAUACAGUUGCUUCUGGCAAAAGCAAUUUCGAACCAUGUGUUACCCCUAUCUUUACGUAGGGGUGCAAACAAAUUUUCUUCUUGGGACGAAAUUGAUCUUUGUUAUUUCAUUUCUAGAAGCUAAGUGUUAAUAUGAGUUUUAAGAAUGCUGAUAUGGAAGAAAAUCAUUUGCAGCCAGUUUGUUCUCAACUUUCUUGGUACCACAUUUUAUCUAUGUUUUAUGAAUUAACUGUUUUUUUUUUCUGCGCUCCUUUUUUCUCUUUGUUUUGGGUAUGGCAUGCGUGGAGCAAAAGGGGAAGGCCAAAUGAGAAUAGAGCCUUGCACGUUACAAGUACAAAAAAUAGGCCAAGGCUUUACUCACGACUGAAGAAUUUCUCAUGUCAAGCUGGAGUAGAGAUAUCAACAUGGACAGAGAAUGACAUUUCUUGGGAGUUUGUCUUGAGUGCUGGAUUGGAGAUUGAUGCAUACGUUCUGGCAUCUGCAUCUUCUAGAAUCAAGACCCUUUUGAAUAUGAGUAAAACUUUUGCGAAUCUACUGGGAGUUGAGGAAUCCUCAGUUAUCCUGGCGCCAACUUUGAAUUUGCAGCGGUGUUCGACAGUGAAACCAUUGAAAGCUUCUGGAGUUAGCUCUACGCUACUGCUAUGGAACAGAAGAUAAAAGAGUCAGCGAGCCUCGCAGGUCGCCUCGAUUUGUUCAGUAAAAUUUUGGGUCGAGUGAGGAAAGAUGACAGAGAAAAACGUUCAAGUUUCAGAAGCAGAACAACAAGCAGGUCAAACCACGGGAAAAGGGUUGAUUUCAGAUUCUCUAAUUUUCAAGCCCUUCAGGUAUUGAUCUUUCUUCAACAAAAGCAAAGGCAGCAAGGAGAAAGACAUUCUUAGAAAAUUUCACCAUUUUCUUGUGUAAAAUAGUCUUGAUGGAAAAAUAUAUUUUGGCUUGCUGCUCCCAUUUAAACACAUCUUGAAGAGAAGGAUAUGCAGUCAUAACAUGUUUUUCAUUCUUAAGAGUAGAAUUGUUGUCAGUUGAUUAAUUUUACUAAGCUUCCUUUUGUUUUGUGCUUAGUGUCAUCCUAUUCUUAUAGGAUCAUAUUUUUAACUUAUUGUAGUUUUAUAAUUAUCUCUUUCUAAAUUAUCGGAUUGUGAAGUGA